rnacentral:rRNA from 1 species
GACGAAUGCUGGCUGCGUGCUUAACACAUGCAAGUCGAACGGUGAAGGGGAGCUUGCUCCCUGGAUCAGUGGCGAACGGGUGAGUAACACGUGGGCAACCUGCCCCUCACUCUGGGAUAACUCCGGGAAACCGGGGCUAAUACCGGAUACGACCUGGUGCGACAUCGCACCGGGUGGAAAGAACUUCGGUGAGGGAUGGGCCCGCGGCCUAUCAGCUUGUUGGUGGGGUAACGGCCCACCAAGGCGACGACGGGUAGCCGGCCUGAGAGGGCGACCGGCCACACUGGGACUGAGACACGGCCCAGACUCCUACGGGAGGCAGCAGUGGGGAAUAUUGGACAAUGGGGGCAACCCUGAUCCAGCCAUGCCGCGUGAGUGAUGAAGGCCUUAGGGUUGUAAAGCUCUUUCACCGGGGAAGAUAAUGACGGUACCCGGAGAAGAAGCCCCGGCUAACUUCGUGCCAGCCGCCGCGGUAAGAC